rnacentral:rRNA from 1 species
GGGGGGGGGGGGGGGGGGGGCGGGGGGGGGGGAGGGGGAGGGGGGCGCAGUAAGAGGUUGCGCGUACGGGUGGCGAGUGGCGGACGGGUGAGGGAUACAUCGGAAUCUACUUUUUCGUGGGGGAUAACGUAGGGAAACUUACGCUAAUACCGCAUACGACCUACGGGUGAAAGCAGGGGAUCUUCGGACCUUGCGCGAUUGAAUGAGCCGAUGUCGGAUUAGCUAGUUGGCGGGGUAAAGGCCCACCAAGGCGACGAUCCGUAGCUGGUCUGAGAGGAUGAUCAGCCACACUGGAACUGAGACACGGUCCAGACUCCUACGGGAGGCAGCAGUGGGGAAUAUUGGACAAUGGGCGCAAGCCUGAUCCAGCCAUACCGCGUGGGUGAAGAAGGCCUUCGGGUUGUAAAGCCCUUUUGUUGGGAAAGAAAAGCAGCAGGUUAAUACCCCGCUGUUCUGACGGUACCCAAAGAAUAAGCACCGGCUAACUUCGUG